AAAAAGGAAAAAUCCAAGUACCACGUGACAAUUCCAGUUUCUAAAUCAACUACCAAGGAGAAGCUAGAAGGUAAAUAAUUAAUAAAAGCAUUGGAUUGCCAGAUAGAAAAGGUGGAAAAUAAGACCCUAUUCAUCAUCCCUUUGGAGAGAGCGAGCGAGAGAGAGCUCAAACUUUUGCAGGUGGGGAAAAAGAAUCAACCCUACUAAACAACAGUGCCCAUCGAUGAUGUACAGAAGGCUCUAAAAUACAGUCAACAGUGCUCUCAGUAUUCAUCUUCCCGCCUGAUCAAUGUUGCUGUUGCAGUGUAUUAGUUAGGCAAUUAAACAAACUCCUGAAAAUUUACAUUUAGUUCUCUGCUUGCUUAACGACAUCUUUUGGUUCAUCUUUGCUGCUGGCCUCAGCAAUUCCUUCAGUUUUUACAGUUGUCUCAUCAUCAGAAGCAAUAGGAUCCACACUUGGAUUUUCAAUACCUGUUUCUGAAAAUGCAGAAAGAAUGGGUGUAGGGCUUUCAUUUGUUGCAUUUGGCAAUCCUCCAGCAACAUCUGGAUCACCAUCACCACCUUGAUUCUCUGAAUCACCAUUUGGCACGAGAGUUACAUUGGAACCAGAAAGAUAAUUGAAAUCUGGUGUCUCCCUCCAUUCAACCCAUACAGGUGGUUUAUCAUUGGCACUAGUUUCUUUUACAUCUUUAGAUGAAUUGUUCACUGACGUAUCAUCUAUACUUAGUUCAGGCACAGGAGAAGAUGAUGCAAUGCCAUCCAAGUCGACAUCUUCUCCGACCAUAACUUGAUCACUGCCUGCACUAUUAACACCACCAGUUUCAUCAUUAUUAGGCGAAGGAGAAGCAUGUGCUCCUGCAGAGCGUUCAUUGGCAACUCUGUCAUCCUCGAAAGCAAACCAGUUGGAAUUUGUAAAAAGGGAGCCACUCUCCUGGUUAUCUCCCAAACGCAGAGAAGAAAUAACAACUUCAGCAGAUUCAUCAUCAAAAUAGACAUCCUCAUCAUCUCGUUCAAGUGAUCCAUGUGCCUCAUCAACGUCAUCAUUGCCAUAAAUGCCAUAUCGAAAUGCCUGGCUUAAAUUAUUUGCUAGGGCUGCAACAUCAUAAUCUCUAUCUUGGUAAUCAGCAUCAUCACUAUCUCUCCGGUCUUGUAGAGCAGUUGGCCUCCCGCAGGCCCACUGAUAGACAUUUUCCACUGCAUUACGCUUUAUUAAGACAUUUGUAUGCCAAUCAGUCCAUUCACUAUUUUCCUGCAAGCAUGCCAGAAUAUCACCAUUGUUAGUCCCCAAUUGAACAAGUUUGUUGGAUAUA
rnacentral:misc_RNA from 1 species